GCCCGCGUAGCUCAGGGGAUAGAGCGACUGCCUCCGGAGCAGUAGGUCGGGGGUUCGAAUCCUCCCGCGGGCA
rnacentral:tRNA from 2 species